AUACAGCGGGUUAAACUGCUGAGCUGCUGAAAAGGUCGGCAGUUCGAAUCCGGGGUGCAGGGUGAGCUCCCACUGUUAGCCCCAGCUUCUGCCAACCUAGCAGUUCGAAAACAUGCAAAUGUGAGUAGAUCGAUAGGCACCACUCCAGUGGAAAGAUAACGGAGCUCCAUGCAGUUGCCAGCCACAUGACCUUGGAGAUGUCUACAGACAACGCCAGCUCUUCGGCUUAGAAGUGGAGAUGAGCACCAACCUCCAGAGUCAGACACGACUAGACAUUGUCAGGGGAAAACCUUUACCUUUACCAAAGUGAAGCUUCAACAAAGAACAUUGGAAGGGACAAGGGUGUUGAAGGUUCAAAGAUGUGAUCUCAUGUCAGCCUGGGAGGGACCGAAUAAGAAGGAAAUGAAAUACACAAAGACUUGAACAGAACACUGUAUGCGUUAUUAGCUGCUCUUCUGCUGUGUCUCUUUCUCCUUCCCCGAUCUUUCAGGUUAAUUUCUCCUUCACUUUUUAAUCUAAUGGUCUGUUUGCAGACACAGUUCAAAAUUUUGAUUAUGACCAAUAAAGCUCUAUACUGGGUCUAGACAAAUUGACGAACCAUUCCUUGGAAAGUUCCCUAUGCAAACUUGCAAGUAAGAUCUUUCUCUUGGUCCCAUCAUCUUCACACCUGACAGGGGACCCCAAUAAAGACUCUUUGGUAGUUAUUCUAUUGAUUUUAUCUUUUACAUUUUCAUGGAUUUUUAAAAAUUGUCGUAAUUCUGCAUACGGUUGGGAGAAAAAUAUAAGUGGAGAUGAGAAAUUAGUCCCAUCUCACUUUCAUCUAUAUAUAUAAAAGAGUGAUGGCAUCAGGGCAGCGGACAAAACAACAAAACUACAGGCCCCCCAAUCUCGAAAUUUGACAACACAACCCAUCAUUCACGGCUCUAGAUUGAUACAACAAAAAGAAAAGAAAAAUAAAAUCCUAAUUACAGGGAGAGGAAUAAUAGUUUUUAUCCAAUUGCUGCCAGUUAGAAGGCUAAGCUCCACCCACUUGGUCUCCUAGCAACCUACUCAGCCCAGGGGACAGGCACAGUUAGGCCUCACUUAGGCCUCUUCCACAGAUUAUCAGAUUUUAACUGGAUUAUAUGGCAGUGUAGACUUGAGGCCCUUCCACACAGCUAUAUAACCCAUUUAGAAUCUUAUAUUAUCUGCUUUGAACUGGAUUAUCUUGACUCCACACUGCUAUAUAAUCUACUUCAGCGUGCAUACUAAACAUAAAGACUACCGUACAACAGACAUUCAAUACCACCACUAACUCAACAAUUUCUCACCAACACCACCAGGACAACGCCACAGCAACGCAUGGCUGGGCACAGCUAGUAUUAACUAUUUAAGUACUUGAGCAAAGUUGCUUGAGAUUUUCAUUUUAGAGUCAGAAAUUUUGCACUCCAGUGUAUGGACAUCUUUCAGACAUAUAAGUCUUUUACUUAAUCCCUGGAAGCAUGUCAGUUUGUUUGCUUUGGGGAAACAUUUAGUAAUCCAGUAAGUCCUGUGCCAACUAAACUUAAUAUUUGCCGUUGGUUUUUGAAAUCAUCAACUCAAUCUGUCAGGCACUGUGUGCCAUGCUGCUUACAUUAACCCAGUUUCUCCAGAUAUUUGUUUCAAAUAAUUCUCAGAUCUUGAAAAUGAAGAGUCAGUGUGAUUGCUACUUUGAGCUUAACGUAUUGUGUGAACAAGAAACGACAACAUGGGGAACUAAAAAAACACCUCUCGGGUUACUCUUACAAAAUGACGAGGAGGCUUCUGAAAGGAUUACAGGCCAUGAGUCUUCCUGAAGAAUGGGAUGCUGUUACACCUAAAUCAAAGGUAACCUGGCAAGCAACUGUCAACAGGUGAAGAAAGGAGCUGGCAAAAGAAAGAGUUAUGCAUCAGGAUUAAAUUCAGACUGAGUUUAGUUGAAGUGGUCAGUUUUUUUUAAGUAUUUUCCCUGAUUUGUUUACUGCUGUUGGUGAGACACUUGAUGAAAUAUUUAGAAAUAGAAGGAUGGAUCACAUUGGCCCUGAGGUGCAGAGGGUCUCUCUUGGUGAUAGAUUGAUGUGGUUGAAAUUUCACCGGGAAACAGGUGAUGGAAAGAUGAGGAAUUCUGGGUGCCUCUUGUGCGUGCCAUAGAUUAGAACCUUAAAAGAAUAGUCACUUCUUGCCAAUCUGGUUCAAAGAGCAUUGUUCACUUUACCGUCAUGUAAAUGAACAGAAGACUGUUAGCAAACUGGCAGAACAUCACCUAUAUUGUAAUCCUGUAUGUUGAAUUCUUACCCAGCAUGUAAUAAAUCUAGGAUCUCAGCUAGAAUUUCCUUGAGUCAAAUGCAAAAAGGUGUGUGGAGUACAGAAUGUACAUACGGAGCUUGGAAGCAUAGCUUUUUUUAAUGCUGUUGUUCCCAGAAUCUCCUAGCCAGCAUGGCUUUACCGCCCUUUAAGCAACUUUAAUGUAUAUCUUAAGGACUAGAAUUAAUGUCAAUGUCAGCAUACACAAGACCAGAAGGCCAGAAAACCUGGUGAUUGUGUCCCAGAAUCAGGAACGAAGUGCCCAGUAUCACAUACUGUGUUUGCUUAUGGCUUAUGCUUUAUUUACUCACCCCGUGCUUUGCUCUUUAAGGCCCAAAUUGAACUAGGCAGGAUAGGGAGACUAGGACUGGAAAACAUGAGUCCAUAGAAUUAACGGUAUGUUUAAAGGGUGGGUGUCACCUUAAAUUUUGCGAUAUUCAAUUUGUUUAUAGCCAAUGUCAGGACAAGUUUUCAAAGAAGUGGCUAUUUUAGGACUUUAUCACACGAGAAAGGUGAACGUUUAAUUAUUCUUCCUAUCACAUGACACCUUGUGCAUCUUGUUGCCAUUCUGCCCCCCUCUUCUGUGAUUCCCUCGUCUCUAACUAUUGAAAGGUAAAACCCAUCAAUAUUCACAAUCUCUGAACAUUUUUGUCCCCUACCUUGAUGCAAUGGGUUCCUUCCAGUUCUGUGCUGGCAGUAAAGCGACAUCAUGGAGUCAGAUUUAGCUUUUCUCAUCCUUCCUCCUUGCUAUUUUUAAGAUGGUUGUGAAUGUGUGUUUGUGUAUGACUCUUUUGUAAUGCCAGAAUGGUGCCGGCCACAUGACCUUGGAGGUGUCUACAGACAACGCUGGCUCUUCGGCUUAGAAAUGGAGAUGAGCACCAACCCCCAGAGUCAGACAUGACUGGACUUAACGUCAGGGGAAACCUUUACCUUUAAUAGUUAUGAUGUUGUGCAGAAGUACAAUUGCAGGACCACGAAUAGAUGAAUUGUUGCAAUUGUACUAAUGCAAAGAGGUACCAUAUUGAGGCUGCUCUGUGCGGUAUGUACCCACUAGCAAUGACAAUGCAACUGUCAACUGCUAAAAUGGAAAGGGCAAUAAAGCCAUGCUGGUUAGGAGAUUCUGGGAACAGCAUUUAAAAAGCAAUGCUUCCAAGCUCCGUAUGUACAUGCCAUAUUCCACACCCCUUUUUGCAUUUAUUAUGUACUGGGUAAGAAUUCAACAUGUAGGAUUAUGGAUCUUCUAUAACCUCUGUUUUGCUGUGAAAGCCCAUCUCGUUCUAUGGAUGAUGGGGAGUGAGAUCAAGGGGUGGAAUGGGAAAAGCAUUUAUAUGUAUCUCCACAGCCAAACACAGGCCAGGGACAUAUUUCACUGAAAUCUGCUAUGAUUCUUCAGAGUUCUCACUGGAUGAUGUCAAUUGUCUGCAUCUGGCUAUAGAAGAAUGGGAAAACUUAGAGCUUCCAGAUGUUUUGAACUCCCACAAUUCCUGAUUAUUCACUGGACACAAACUUUAUUUUUUGCACAAAAUAAUGAAAAGCCUCCAAGCUAAGUAUUUAAGGUGUAUGUGAAACAUAAAUGAAUCCCAUGUUGAGACUUGGGUUCCAUCCCCAUUGUGUACACAUAUGCAAGUGCAGGUAUUUGGGCUGAAAUACAAUACACUGCCUGAGCCAAGCAUUGCAAAUAAAGAACACUCAACCUGUAGUCCAUUUAAAAGUUAUUUGUCUAUUUGUUAAUGCUGCAUUGGUACAAAUUAGAGAUGUGCGCAAAAGUCCCCCCUCCCCCCCUCCCCCCGGAACAAAAAUGCAAUCUAAACAAAAGCCAGGCGGGAGCUGGUAUCGGCUCCAAGCCUGAUUUUCAGAUUGAUUGGCUGCAGGUCCUGCGAGGCCUGGGUGUGUAGACCCAAAGCCUGCACCCAUAGGCCCAAAGCUUCUAGGCCUACAUGUGACGGCGUGAGUGGCGCCAUCUAUAUGUCGAACUGUAAGUUGCAAGAUUUGAAUUGUUGAACCAUGCCUGAUUUUGCCUUUACCCUGUAAAUGUAGUUGGAUUGAUUGGUUAUUUAUAGCUGUCAAUCAAUGUUGUUUGCAGCAGUUAUAUUGCUUCCUCAGCUCAAUUGUUUGGCUCCACCUCUUCCUGGAGUAGGACAGUGUUUCCUUUUUUCAUUCCACCAUCAAGCUUUCUACCAGAUGGACGUGAGAGAGAGACUUGGCUCUAAAAGCCCUAGAUUAAGUUACCUCUCAGCACCAAUUCUGCGGUUCUUACCCUUGAGACUUCUGCUUCAUGUUCAGGGCCAACCUGGACGACAUUGAGGAGUCUCAAGAGCCUUCAAAUCAGUUCUUUGGCACCAAAGGAAGACUGCAUCUUCAAACAUAGGCCAUUUGGACUGAGGCUGAGGAUUGCUCCGGCAUUCACAGCCAUUGGGGGACCCAGAAAAGCUUCUCAGCUACGGAGCUCCCUGGACUUAAGACAACCAAAGACUAUAAUGUAUUUUCCUUUACCCCUUAGAAACUUCCAGCUUAUUGCCUUAAAGGGAUAACCUUUUGUGAACAAUAAAACCAGUUUUUGAAUUA